rnacentral:rRNA from 1 species
UGCGUAGGUGGCAAGGUAAGUCGGAUGUGAAAUCUCCGAGCUCAACUCGGAAAUGGCAUUGGAAACUGCUUUGCUCGAGGGUUGGAGGGGGGACUGGAAUACUUGGUGUAGCAGUGAAAUGCGUAGAUAUCAAGUGGAACACCAGUGGCGAAGGCGAGUCCCUGGACAACUCCUGACACUGAGGCACGAAAGCUAGGGGAGCAAACAG